rfam:Haloquadratum sp. J07HQX50 genomic scaffold scf7180000001541, whole genome shotgun sequence.
GGGCUGCUGGUCUAGUCCGGUUAUGACAGCUCCUUCACACGGAGCAGGUCGAUGGUUCAAAUCCAUCGCAGCCCA